UACGUAGGGUGCAAGCGUUAAUCGGAAUUACUGGGCGUAAAGCGUGCGCAGGCGGUUCUAUAAGACAGAUGUGAAAUCCCCGGGCUCAACCUGGGAACUGCAUUUGUGACUGUAGAGCUGGAGUACGGCAGAGGGGGAUGGAAUUCCGCGUGUAGCAGUGAAAUGCGUAGAUAUGCGGAGGAACACCGAUGGCGAAGGCAAUCCCCCUGGGCCUGUACUGACGCUCAUGCACGAAAGCGUGGGGAGCAAACAGG
rnacentral:rRNA from 1 species